UUUCCGUAGGUGAACCUGCGGAAGGAUCAUUACCUGAAUACGGGCUCCGGCCCUCAUUCUACCCUUGUCUAUUGCACCUUUGUUGUUCCCUCGGCGGGCCUCCCGCCGGUGGGUACCCCAAAAACCCUUUGCAUGUAGCAUGUAAAUCUGAUACCAAUUGAAUAAUCACAACUUUCAACAAUGGAUCUCUUGGUUCUGGCAUCGAUGAAGAACGCAGC
rnacentral:misc_RNA from 1 species